rnacentral:lncRNA from 1 species
GUUAUAGCAGUAUGUCUUUGUUGGAGGUGUUAUAGCAGUAUGUCUUUGUUGGAGAUGUUAUAGCAGUAUGUCUUUCUUGGAGGUGUUAUAGCAGUAUGUCUUUGUUGGAUGUGUUAUAGCAGUAUGUCUUUGUUGGAGGUGUUAUAGCAGUAUGUCUUUGUUGGAGCUGUUAUAGCAGUAUGUCUUUGUUGGAGGUGUUAUAGCAGUAUGUCUUUGUUGGAGAUGUUAUAGCAGUAUGUCUUUGUUGGAUGUGUUAUAGCAGUAUGUCUUUGUUGGAUGUGUUAUAGCAGUAUGUCUUUGUUGGAGGUGUUAUAGCAGUAUGUCUUUGUUGGAGUUGUUACAGCGACAGUAUGUCAUUAUUGGAGCUGUUAUAGCAGUAUGUCAUUGUUGGAUGUGUUAUAGCAGUAUGUCUUUGUUGGAGGUGUUAUAACAUUAUGUCUUUGUUGGAGGUCUUAUAGCAGCAUGUAUUUGUUAGAGAAUUAUAGCAGUAUGUCUUUGUUGGAGGUGUUAUAGCAGUAUGUCUUUGUUGGAGGUGUUAUAGCAGUAUGUCUUUGUUGGAGGUGUUAUAGCAGUAUGUCUUUGUUGGAGGUGUUAUAGCAGUAUGUCUUUGUUUGAGGUGUUAUAUCAGUAUGUCUUUGUUGGAGGUGUUAUAGCAGCAUGUAUUGGUUAUAGACUUAUAGCAGUAUGUCUUUCUUGAAGGUGUUAUAGCAGUAUGUCUUUGUUGGAGAUGUUAUUGCAGUAUGUCUUUGUUGGAGGUGUUAUAGCAGUAUAUCUUUGUUGGUGGUGUUAUAGCAGUAUGUCUUUGUUGGAGGUGUUACAGCAGUAUGUAUUUUUUGGAGGUGUUAUAGCAACAGUAUGUCAUUAUUGGAGGUGUUAUAGCAGUAUGUCUUUGUUGGAGGUCUUAUAGCAGCAUGUAUUUGUUAGAGAGUUAUAGCAGUAUGUCUUUGUUGGAGGUGUUAAAGCAGUAUGUCUUUCUUGAAGGUGUUAUAGCAGUAUGUAUUUGUUGGAUGUGUUAUAGCAGUAUGUCUUUGUUGGAGGUGUUAUAGCAGUAUCUCGUUGUUGGAUGUGUUAUAGCAGUAUGUCUUUGUU